rnacentral:rRNA from 1 species
GUUUGAUCAUGGCUCAGGACGAACGCUGGCGGCGUGGAUAAGGCAUGCAAGUUGAAAGGGUUUAGACCCUUGGCAAACGGGUUUUGUAAUGCAUAGGAAUUUUCCCCAAAGUCGUGGAUAAUCCGGAGAAAUCCGGAACAAUACACGAUAUGUUCUACGGAAUAAAGAUUUACCGCUUUGGGAUGAGCCUAUGUCCUAUCAGCUUGUUGGUGGUGUAAAAGACCACCAAGGCUAUGACGGGUAGGGGGUGUGAGAGCACGGCCCCCAACAUUGGGACUGAGACACUGCCCAAACACCUACGGGUGGCUGCAGUCGAGAAUAUUCCACAAUGGACGAAAGUCUGAUGGAGCGACGCCGCGUGCAGGAUGAAGGUUUUCGGAUUGUAAACUGCUUUUGUAAGGGAAGAAUGUAAAUGACGGUACCUUACGAAUAAGAGGUUACUAACUCUGUGCUAGCAGUAGCGGUAAUACAGAGACCUCAAGCGUUGUCCGGACUUAUUGGGCGUAAAGCGCAGGUAGGCGGAUAUAUUAGUCAGAUGUCAAAUCCUCGAGCUCAACUCGAGAACUGCAUUUGAAACGGUAUGUCUAGAGAGCGGGAGGGACCACUGGAACUUAUGGUGUAGCAGUGAAAUGCGUUGAUAUCAUAAGGAACACCAAAGGCGAAGGCAUGUGGUUGGCCCGUUUCUGACGCUGAGCUGCGAAAGCGUGGGUAGCGAAUGGGAUUAGAUACCCCAGUAGUCCACGCUGUAAACGAUGUAUAUUAGGCAUCGGGAGUAUCGACCCUCUCGGUGUCGUAGCUAACGCGUUAAAUAUACCGCCUGGGAAGUACGGCCGCAAGGCUAAAACUCAAAUGAAUUGACGG